rnacentral:rRNA from 1 species
GACAGAGGGUGCAAACGUUGUUCGGAAUUACUGGGCGUAAAGGGCGCGUAGGCGGCCUGCUAAGUCGAACGUGAAAUCCCUGGGCUCAACCCAGGAACUGCGUCCGAUACUGGUUGGCUUGAAUCCGGGAGAGGGACGUGGAAUUCCAGGUGUAGCGGUGAAAUGCGUAGAGAUCAGGAGGAACACCCGUGGCGAAGGCGGUCAUCUGGGCUACAACUGACGCUGAGGCGCGAAAGCGUGGGGAGCAAACAGG